rnacentral:rRNA from 1 species
GACGAACCGUGCGAACGUUAUUCGGAAUCACUGGGCUUAAAGCGCGCGCAGGCGGCCCUUUAAGUCCAUCGGUCAAAUGCCGGAGCUCAACUCCGUGCGUGCCGAGGAUACUGGAGGGCUGGAGACACGUAGAGGCAAGCGGAAUUCCGGGUGUAGCGGUGGAAUGCGUAGAGAUCCGGAAGAACACCGGAGGCGAAGGCGGCUUGCUGGGCGUGAUCUGACGCUGAGGCGCGAAAGCGUGGGGAGCGAACAGG